rnacentral:rRNA from 1 species
UACGUAGGGUGCGAGCGUUGUCCGGAAUUAUUGGGCGUAAAGAGCUUGUAGGCGGUUUGUCGCGUCUGCCGUGAAAAUCCGGGGCUCAACCCCGGACUUGCGGUGGGUACGGGCAGACUAGAGUGUGGUAGGGGAGACUGGAAUUCCUGGUGUAGCGGUGAAAUGCGCAGAUAUCAGGAGGAACACCGAUGGCGAAGGCAGGUCUCUGGGCCACUACUGACGCUGAGAAGCGAAAGCCAGGGGAGCGAACGGG